UAGAGAGAGACAUGCGCGCAUAUCAAUAAGCGGAGGAAAAGAAACUAACUAGGAUUCCCUCAGUAACGGCGAGUGAAGCGGGAAGAGCUCAAAUUUGAAAUCUUCAAGGGUUCUACCUUUACGAAUUGUAGUUUAAAGAAGUGUUUUCUGUUGAGGUUUUGGUAAAAGUUCUUUGGAAUAGGACAUCAUAGAGGGUGAGAAUCCCGUAUUUGACCAUUAUUUCCAGCUUUGUGAUACACUUUCAAAGAGUCGGAUUGUUUGGGAAUGCAGUCCAAAAUGGGUGGUAAAUUUCAUCUAAAGCUAAAUACUGGCGAGAGACCGAUAGCGAACAAGUACCGUGAGGGAAAGAUGAAAAGAACUUUGAAAAGAGAGUUAAACAGUACGUGAAAUUGUCAAAAGGGAAGCGUUUGACACCAGUGUUGUUUUCUCGAAAAUCAAUUAAAAAAGGCAGGAUUUUGUGUUGUAUUGACUUUAUCAGCUUUCUGCACUCUUUUCUUGUCUUUUUUAAUGCACUUUUCGUUUAACAAGUCAACAUCAAUUUCUUUUGUUGUAAAAGGGUCAUUGGAAGGUGGCUUUCUUUUCGGAGAAAGUGUUUAUAGCCUUUGGCCUCUGCAAUCGGAGAGAUUGAGGUCUGCAGCGUAGAUCCUUCGGGGUUAAAUAGCAUUUGUGCUAAGUUAUAGCCUUUCAUAGACAACUUGUUGACUAUGAUCAGUCAUGUAGCUUACUCGCUUAUGCUAUUUUACCUACGCUUAGGAUGUUGAUGUGAUACUGCGAGCA
rnacentral:rRNA from 1 species